CGGUAAUUCCAGCUCCAAUAGCGUAUACUAAAGUUGUUGCAGUUAAAAAGCUCGUAGUUGGAUUUCUGCGGGGACGGAGCGGCCGGACGCAACUUGCGUCUCGAGCUAGCGCUUUCCCCGCAUCCUGCCGCGAACCGUGCUACCAUUAGCUUGGUGGCGCUGGGGAUCGGCUCGAUUACUUUGAGAAAAAUAGAGUGUUCAAAGCAGGCCACACGCCUUGAAUAAGUUAGCAUGGAAUAAUGACUAAGGACUUUGGUUCUUUUCGUUGGUGUUCGGGACUGAAGUAAUGAUUGAUAGGGACAGUUGGGGCGGUCUGUAUUCCAAAGCGAGAGGUGAAAUUCUUAGACCUUCGGAAGACAAACAGCUGCGAAAGCGUUCCGCAAGGAUGUUCCCUUUGAUCAAGAACGAAAGUUGGGGGAUCGAAGACGAUCAGAUACCGUCGUAGUCUCAACUAUAAACUAUACCAGCUAGGGAUCGGCCAACGUUUAAUUAUUCGACUUGGUCGGCACCUUAUGAGAAAUCAAAGCAUCUGGGUUCCGGGGGGAGUAUGGUCGCAAGGCUGAAACUUAAAGGAAUUGACGGAAGGGCACCACCAGGCGUGGAGCCUGUGGCUUAAUUUGACUCAACACGGGAAAACUUACCAGGUCCAGACAUAGGAAGGAUUGACAGAUUGAUAGCUCUUUCUUGAUUCUGUGGGUGGUGGUGCAUGGCCGUUUUUAGUCGGUGAAGUGAUUUGUCUGCUUAAUUGCGUUAACGGACGAGACCCCAGCCUGCUAAAUAGCGCGGCCGAGCUUUGCUCGGUGCGAGCUUCUUAGAGGGACCAUGAUGCGCGAUAGCACAAGGAAGUUUGGGGCAACAACAGGUCUGUGAUGCCCUUAGAUGUUCUGGGCCGCACACGGGCUACACUGGCGCCUGCAACGAGCAUAUCAGCUGGCCCGAGAGGGUCUUGGCUAAUCUUUGGAACCGGCGCCGUGCUUGGGAUUGACCAUUGCAAUUGUUGGUCAUGCAACGAGGAAUGCCUUGUAAACGCGAGUCAUCAGCUCGCAUUGAAUACGUCCCUGCUCCUUGUACACACCGCCC
rnacentral:rRNA from 1 species